UACGAGGGGGCAAGCGUUGUUCGGAAUUAUUGGGCGUAAAGGGUGCGUAGGCGGUCUGAUAAGUCAUCUGUGAAAUCUAUGGGCUCAACCCAUAGUCUGCAGGCGAAACUGUCGGGCUUGAGUAUGGGAGAGGUGAGUGGAAUUUCCGGUGUAGCGGUGAAAUGCGUAGAUAUCGGAAGGAACACCUGUGGCGAAAGCGGCUCACUGGACCAUUACUGACGCUGAUGCACGAAAGCUAGGGGAGCAAACAGG
rnacentral:rRNA from 1 species